UACGUAGGGUGCGAGCGUUGUCCGGAAUUACUGGGCGUAAAGAGCUCGUAGGUGGUUUGUCGCGUUGUUCGUGAAAACUCACAGCUUAACUGUGGGCGUGCGGGCGAUACGGGCAGACUGGAGUACUGCAGGGGAGACUGGAAUUCCUGGUGUAGCGGUGGAAUGCGCAGAUAUCAGGAGGAACACCUGAGGCGAAGGCGGGCUACUGGGCCGAUACUGACGCUGAUGCGCGAAAGCCAGGGGAGCGAACGGG
rnacentral:rRNA from 1 species